UGAGGAAUAUUGGGCAAUGCCCGAAAGGGUGACCCAGCAACGCCGCGUGGAGGAUGAAGGUCGUAAGAUUGUAAACUCCUGUUAGAGGGGAAGAAUAACUAAGUUUGGAGCUUAGUAUGACUGUACCCUCAGAGAAAGCCCCGGCUAACUACGUGCCAGCAGCCGCGGUAAUACGUAGGGGGCAAGCGUUGUCCGGAUUUACUGGGUGUAAAGGGCGCGCAGGCGGAAUGGAAAGUCAGUGGUGAAAUCCUACAGCUUAACUGUAGAACUGCCUUUGAUACUUUCAUUCUUGAGUUCGGGAGAGAGAGACGGAAUUCCAGGUGUAGUGGUGAAAUACGUAGAUAUCUGGAAGAACACCAGUUGCGAAGGCGGUCUCUUGGUCCGAUACUGACGCUGAGGCGCGAAAGCGUGGGGAGCAAACAGGAUUAGAUACCCCAGUAGUCCCUGAGCGGGCUGGCAAGGCGCAU
rnacentral:rRNA from 1 species